GGAUGGACCCGCGUCUGAUUAGCUAGUUGGUAAGGUAACGGCUUACCAAGGCGACGAUCAGUAGCCGACCUGAGAGGGUGAUCGGCCACAUUGGAACUGAGACACGGUCCAAACUCCUACGGGAGGCAGCAGUGGGGAAUAUUGCACAAUGGGCGAAAGCCUGAUGCAGCAACGCCGCGUGAGUGAUGAAGGCCUUCGGGUCGUAAAACUCUGUCCUCAAGGAAGAUAAUGACGGUACUUGAGGAGGAAGCCCCGGCUAACUACGUGCCAGCAGCCGCGGUAAUACGUAGGGGGCUAGCGUUAUCCGGAUUUACUGGGCGUAAAGGGUGCGUAGGCGGUCUUUCAAGUCAGGAGUGAAAGGCUACGGCUCAACCGUAGUAAGCUCUUGAAACUGGGAGACUUGAGUGCAGGAGAGGAGAGUGGAAUUCCUAGUGUAGCGGUGAAAUGCGUAGAUAUUAGGAGGAACACCAGUUGCGAAGGCGGCUCUCUGGACUGUAACUGACGCUGAGGCACGAAAGCGUGGGGAGCAAACAGGAUUAGAUACCCUGGUAGUCCACGCUGUAAACGAUGAGUACUAGGUGU
rnacentral:rRNA from 1 species